rnacentral:rRNA from 1 species
AUGGCCACCGGUGGCAACCCCAAUCCCAACGCCAACCCCGGCCAGCCACGCCCGCAGCAGCAGCCGCCGGGAAGCUCUCCGGCGACCCCGCAUAACCACAUGCGCCCCCCCACUCUCGCCGGUUCCCCCUUCCAGGGUCUUUUCCACACCCCGCCUAGCCACAAUCCUGCUUUCCAGAUUCACAUGGGCGCAGCCUCCUCCCCCCAGACCCCACUAAUGGCCGCGGCCGCGGCCGCGGCCUCCGCCGCCGCAUCGGCCAAGCGCCCUCCCCAGAAGCCCCCUUCGCGUCCGCCGGCACCCACCUCCAACGCCGCCGCCGCAGCGUCCAUGGCCGCCGCUUAUAAGGCUGCUAACUCCGGCAGCGUCGACCUCACCCCCGCUGCGCGCCGCAACAAGAAGCGCAAACUCCCGGAGAAGCAACUCCCGGACCGCGUCGCCGCGCUGUUGCCAGAGUCCGCGCUCUACACGCAGCUCCUCGAGUUCGAGGCCCGUGUCGACGCAGCGCUCGCGCGCAAGAAGGUGGACAUUCAGGAGGCGCUCAAGACACCACCGUCCCUCCAGCGCACGCUCCGCAUCUACGUCUUCAACACCUUUGCCAACCAGGCGCCCCGCACCAUCCCGCCGCCCAAGAAUGGCGAUCCGCCCACCUGGUCGCUCAAGAUCAUUGGCCGUGUGCUUGAAGACGGCGCGGAGCUGGACCCAGCCAGUGUUGUGCCGAAGCACAACCCAGUGUAUCCGAAAUUCUCCUCGUUCUUUAAGAGGGUGACUAUUGCUCUUGAUUCGUCACUCUACCCAGAGAACCCACUGAUCGUUUGGGAGAAUGCACGGUCUGCUGCGCCGCAGGAAGGGUUUGAGGUGAAGAGGAAAGGGGAUAAGGAGUUUCUUGCCAAUAUCCGUCUGGAGAUGAAUUACAACCCUGAGAAGUUCAAGCUGUCACAGCCACUGAUGGAGGUGCUUGGGGUCGAGGUGGACACUCGUGCAAGGGUGAUUGCAGCCCUUUGGCAGUACAUCAAGGCAAAGAAGCUACAGAAUCCCAGUGACCCUUCGUACUUUAUGUGUGACCCCCAACUGAAGAAGGUAUUUGGGGAGGAUAAAAUGAGGUUUGCUAUGCUGUCUCAGAAGAUAUCACAACAUCUUGCUCCUCCACCGCCCAUCAACUUGGAACAUAAGAUCAAGCUAUCAGGGAAUGGAGCAAACUCGAGUGCUUGCUAUGAUGUAUUGGUAGAUGUUCCUUUCCCACUGCAGAAGGAGAUGACAGCAUUUCUUGCCAAUACUGAGAAGCACAAGGACAUUGAGGCAUGUGAUGAGGUGAUAUCUGCUUCAAUCAAGAAGAUCCAUGAGCAUCGUAGGAGGAGGGCGUUCUUCCUUGGGUUCAGCCAGUCCCCAGUGGAAUUCAUUAAUGCGUUGAUAGCAUCCCAGAGUAAAGAUUUGAAGCUUGUUGCUGGUGAAGCGAGUAGGAAUAUUGAAAGGGAAAGGCGUGCAGACUUCUAUAACCAGCCAUGGGUUGAGGAUGCUGUUAUAAGAUAUUUGAAUCGUAAACCGCCUGGUGGCAACGAUGGCCCUGGUGCUGGUGGUUCUUGA